rnacentral:lncRNA from 1 species
GUCUGCAGCUUCAUUUCUGAAGCCAGCGAGACCACGAACCAACCAGAAGGAAAAAACUGAACACAUCUGAACAUCAGAAGGAACAAACUCUGGACGGGGCCGCCUUUAAGAACUGUAACACUCAUCGCCGUGUCUACUAAAAAUACAAAAAAUUAGCCGNNNNNNNNNNNNNNNNNNNNNNAGUUUUAUAAAAAAAAGUUUUAUCAUGGAACAUUUCAAACAUGUACCAAAGUAAACAGAAUAGAAUAGAGAACCCCCAUGUAUCUAUCACCCAGCUGCAGUAAUUCUCACUCUUUUCCAAUCUUGUUUUCUCCUCCCUCAUUUAUUUGCAUGCCUGUAAUUCUAGCUACUCGGGAGGCUGAGGUGGGAGGAUUGCUUGAACUGGGAGGCAGAGGUUGCAAUGAGCCGAGAUCGCACCACUGCACACUCCAGCCUGGGCGACUCUGUCUCAAAAAAAAAAAGAGGCUUUCAAUUUCCCCCUAUUCAGUAGCAUGUUAACUGUGGGUUUGUCAUAUAUGAUCUUUAUUAUUCUGAAGUGUGUUUUCUCUAUAUCCAGUAUGUUGAGUUUGUUUGUUUGUUUAUUUUUUGAGACAAGGUCUGUUUCUAUUGCCCAGAUUGGAGUGUAGUGGGCUCACUGCAACCUCAGCCUCCCAGGUUCAAGUCAUCCUCCCAUCUCAGUCUCCUGAGUAGCUGGGAUUACAGGUGCAUGUUCACCACCAUGCCUGGCUAACUUUUUUUGUAUUUUUUGUAGAUGGGGUUUCUCUGUGUUGCCCAAGCUGGUCUCGAACUCGUGAGCUCAAGCGAUCUGCUAGCGUGGGCCUCCUAAAGUGCCAGGAUUACAGGGGUGAGCCAUCUUGCCUGGCCUGUUGAGGGUUUUUUUUUUUUUUUUAAUCAUAAAGGGAUGUUGAAUUUUAUCAAAUACUUUUUCAGCAUCUAUUGAAAUGAUCAUAUGGUUUUUGUUCUUGGUUCUGUUAAUUGAUGUAUCGCAUUUAUCAAUUUGGGUAUGUUGAGCCAUCCUUGUAUCCUUGAGAUGAACCCCGCUUGAUCAUGGGAAAUGAUUUUUUUAAUGUGUUGUUGAAUUCAGUUUGCUAGUAUUUCAUUGAGGACUUUUGCAUCUAUGUUCACCAGUGGUAUUGGCCUGUAGUUUUCCUUUUUU